rnacentral:rRNA from 1 species
GACGAACGCUGGCGGCGUGCCUAAUACAUGCAAGUAGAACGCUGAAGCGAGGAGCUUGCUCUUCUUGGAUGAGUUGCGAACGGGUGAGUAACGCGUAGGUAACCUGCCUUGUAGCGGGGGAUAACUAUUGGAAACGAUAGCUAAUACCGCAUAACAAUGGAUGACCCAUGUCAUUUAUUUGAAAGGGGCAAAUGCUCCACUACAAGAUGGACCUGCGUUGUAUUAGCUAGUAGGUGAGGUAACGGCUCACCUAGGCGACGAUACAUAGCCGACCUGAGAGGGUGAGCGGCCACACUGAGACGGAGACACGGCCCAGACGCCUACGGGAGGCAGCAGUAGGGAAUCGUCGGCAAUGGGGGCAACCCUGACCGAGCAACGCCGCGUGAGUGAAGAAGGUUUUCGGAUCGGAAAGCUCUGUUGUAAGUCAAGAACGAGUGUGAGAGUGGAAAGUUCACACUGUGACGGUAGCUUACCAGAAAGGGACGGCUAACUACGUG